GCUGGCGUAGCUCAGUGGUAGAGCAGUGCACUCGUAAUGCACAGGUCGAGGGUUCGAGUCCCUCCGCCAGCUCCA
rnacentral:tRNA from 1 species